rnacentral:rRNA from 1 species
UCCCUAUCCGGCGCGGGCGUAGGAUAUCUGAGAGGAGCUGUCCUUAGUACGAGAGGACCGGGAUGGACGGACCGCUGGUGUAUCAGCUGCAUCGCCAGAUGCAUAAGGCUGGGUAGCCACGUCCGGAAGGGAUAAACGCUGAAGGCAUCUAAGCGUGAAGCCCCCCUCAAGAUGAGAUAUCCCUGGUUUUUGCAGUAAGACCCCUUGUAGAGUACGAGGUUAGAUAGGCACAAGGUGUAAGCAUGGUAACGUGUUCAGCUGAUGUGUACUAAUAGGUCGAGGGCUUAUCCA